AAAAUUAACCUUAGUGGCUUUGUGCCUCAUAUUAACCAGCUGACAGUUUGAAGCCAUUCUAUGGGACGGAGAAUCCACUAGGCAGCACAGUCGGGACUGUCUGAAGCUAGUCUGAAGCCAUUCAAUGGGACUGAUAACGGCUAAUAAYGUCCAUUUAAUGGAUUAUCACAUUCAAAGCGGGYGUUUAUGACAUGUGAUGUAAGUCUUCUUUAAAAGGUGUGGGGUAAAUAAUAACAAAAAUAAGCCCUGUUUGUCAUUCAUUAUAACUGUGCCUUCACAAAGGUUUUAAAGCAGGGGUGUCAAACUCACUUUCACUGAGGGUCACAUGAGUAUUAUGUCAUGUAGUUUUCAUUCACUUUGAUUUUUCACAUUUAAUUUCAACUAAACACGAAUCAUCACGUUCCUUGUCCUGCUUCUGCUGAGCACUGCUAACAAACAAUAACUGAGCUCUACGUGGUAUUUCCUGCUUAGAAACAGUUCUUACGGCUUGAUUUAAGCCAUUGACACGUCUCUGAAGUUCUCAUUUAAAAAGACAUGGCGGGACACAUCUGGCCCGUGGGGCUUGAGUUUGACACGUGUUUUAAAGAAAUAGUUCACUUUCUUUUGAGUGGAGUUCUGUGAAACAAUGCGAACAAUUAUCUUACCUGAUGCAGGUAGCUUUUUGAAUGGCUCCAGUUUGGAGGAACAGAAUUUAAAACUGAUCAAGUUGAUGAGCUGAUGACAAAUCAGAGCRGAGCUGAGUUAUUCUGGCAGGAACAUUGCAGAAAUCCCUGCUUGAAGGGUCUUAGAAUGCACUGGAAAUGCUACAGCUAGCUGCUGCUUCCAUUAAUUGUGCUUCCAUAUAAAACUAUAAAUUUAAUUUGAUGUAAAUAACUGUGAUCUUAAAGGUUUAUAAAAUGGCUCUUGCAUGAACUGCGCUUUUUUAAGAUUGGUGUUUUAAGACAUAGYAAUUCACUUUUCACUUAAUUUCACUCAAACCAGCUGUUCAGCUCUUCGUUUCUGUCAAAAUAAACUAUUUCUCCAAACAUAAGGAGUUUAAAUGMUAUCUGCAGSAGGUAAGAUACUAAUUGUUAAUAACGUGUCCACAGAACCAUACUUUUAAAAGGUCUGAACUGUCAGUUUAAUCUAAAGGCACUCAGAACAAACUCUGAGCUCCUUCGACCCUGACUUUCUCAUGUUUGUGUUUUCCCAAAUUGCUUUUGAGUUUUGACUCCACAAACAUUACAUCACGUUGCAUCAUGUAGCACAAGCUUUCAUCUGAAGCGAUUUACAAGUGAGAAAAUCAGACAAGCGAUAAGCACAUCAGGSGCAGCGUGGGUGGGGGUUCAGAUGUUUGCCUAAAGGACACUUUGACACGAAGCAGGGAUGGGGAUUAACCAGAUUAAACCCCCCAGUUUCACAACUGGAAGACCACCCAGCCACCGAACUACACCCUCCCUCCCCCAAAGAAAAGUUUUCCACCUUAACAUACCUUCAAAAGAUCACGAGCCCUGAGACGCUGCUGAUAGUUUUGGAUUUUGUUCAAAUACAAGCUGUGAAUACUGAAAGUUAAAGUGUUUCUGAACCCAGAUUUAAAGAGUGAAAUAAAUGCAAACAGAGAUUUUAUUUUCUGUUUUUUAUACACACUAACUGCCUUUCAKUGUUGGUGGUUUUACAUAAAACCUGCAAAGUUUUUCUCGCACACCUCUUAAACAUUCACCCUCUGCCAGGUGCUGUAAUUAUCCAUUUACCAGAGUGCCCCAACUUAUCUGAGACUCAGUUGCACAAUAAGCAAAAGUCUUACUUUUUUUGCCACUCUGCAUAAAAAUAUGCUACUUUUUAGUGUGUGUAAACAUAAUAACACUUCUGUCUAAUAACACUUUUAAGUGUCUACUUGAAUGUCAAAAAACUGAGGUAAACAAAGCAAAAAUGAAGAAAAGGAAUGUAAUGAGGACAGCUUUGCACACGAUGGCACUAUAUACAUUCAGCCAGCAGCUUAUGUAACUGAACGGCUGCUGCUCGUCUGCAGCUCCACUCUCUUUCAAAACUGCAAGGAGCCGUCCUCUAUGCAGACAGGAUGUAAACGUUUGCACUGACAUGAGCACAACAGGAAGCAACAAGGACUUUGCUGAGCAGAGGGCAUGCAAAUGAACAAUGCUUCGUCACUUUCUUUAACAAACUCCCAACUGCUGCGUCCCUUUUGUAUUUUGAUCACAUCUUCGGAUUUAAGUGUCCUUCAUGAUUCACCGACGCUCGUGAAAAUGAUCUGCAUGGUGACUGAACGCUCCAGGAAUGCAAACCUACAGUGCUAUUGCUGCAAAGCAUUAAAGAAACCCAUCAUUUUAGCCCCGCCCCUCUCCUCCUGCAAAACCUUUAAGAUAUUCAAGUCCUGAUUGCAUUAAACAGCUGUGAUGCACCAGAUUACAGAUGUUUUUUUUUUCUAUUUUCUUUUACAAUUGAGUAACACAUUUGCAUAAAGAAGAAGCACAAAUUGGCAAAAUGAGAAGGCGCUUUUCACAGCAGGCUGCAUUUAAAGACUAAAGAGAAACUUGUGCCAGGAAAUCAGUUUAUUGUUGGAUGCUUCUCCGAGAUGAAUCCUGCAAUGUUAAAUAAAACUUAAGCAUUUAUACCCUCUGAUUGUUGCUGGAGUUUUACCAUAAUUCCUUUUUGUAAUUGUCAAACAAAUCAGAGUCCUAA